rnacentral:rRNA from 1 species
UACGUAGGGGGCUAGCGUUGUUCGGAAUUACUGGGCGUAAAGCGCGUGUAGGCGGUUAUCCAAGUCGGGUGUGAAAGCCUUGAGCUCAACUCAAGAAAUGCACUCGGUACUGGGUGACUAGAGGACCGGAGAGGAUAGUGGAAUUCCCAGUGUAGUGGUGAAAUACGUAGAGAUUGGGAAGAACACCAGUGGCGAAGGCGGCUAUCUGGACGGUUUCUGACGCUAAGACGCGAAAGCGUGGGGAGCAAACAGG